CCGGAAUUACUGGGUGUAAAGGGAGCGCAGGUGGCAGUGCAAGUUGGAUGUAAAAUCUACGGGCUCAACCCGUAUAAGCAUUCAAAACUGUGCAGCUUGAGUGAAGUAGAGGUAGGUGGAAUUUCCGGUGUAGCGGUGGAAUGCGUAGAUAUCGGAAGGAACAUCAGUGGCGAAGGCGACCUACUGGGCUUUAACUGACGCUGAGGCUCGAAAGCAUGGGUAGCAAACAGGAUUAGAUACCCUGGUAGUCCAUGCUGUAAACGAUGAUUACUAGGUGUGGGGGCGAAAGCUUCCGUGCCGGAGUUAACACAAUAAGUAAUCCACCUGGGGAGUACGACCGCAAGGUUGAAACUCAAAGGAAUUGACGGGGGCCCGCACAAGCAGUGGAGUAUGUGGUUUAAUUCGAUGCAACGCGAAGAACCUUACCAGGUCUUGACAUCGUGCGCAUAGGCAAGAGAUUGCUGAAAUCACUCUUUGAGUGACGUAUAGACAGGUGGUGCAUGGUUGUCGUCAGCUCGUGUCGUGAGAUGUUGGGUUAAGUCCCGCAACGAGCGCAACCCUUAUCAUUAGUUACUACGAAAGAGGACUCUAAUGAGACUGCCGUUGAGAAAACGGAGGAAGGUGGGGAUGACGUCAAAUCAUCAUGCCCCUUAUGACCUGGGCUACACACGUACUACAAUGGCUGUCAACAAAGUGAACCAAAUACGCGAGUAAGAGGGAAACACAAAAAACAGUCACAGUUCGGAUUGUAGGCUGCAACUCGCCUACAUGAAGCCGGAAUUGCUAGUAAUCGCGGAUCAGCAUGCCGCGGUGAAUACGUUCCCGGGCCUUGUACACACCGCCC
rnacentral:rRNA from 1 species